AUCACAUCACCACACCGCCACAACUGCCGACAUUGGGCAAGUGCUCGUCUCGCUAUGCCCAUACCAGAACAUGCAACACCACCGCCACCGCUACAAAUCAACAGCAGCAGCAGCCACUACCAUCUCGCACUUCAACUUCCCUGGAGAGGUACAUGGCAAAGCUAAAGAUCAGGCAUAGUACAGCAAACUAACAAUCUUAAUUUGGCCAGCAGCAAAAGUUGACAGCACAACUACUCUACUUCGGAUCAAGAAAUUAUUGGUAUAUCAAGAAAUAGAUGGAAUUGCUAACUGUCGCCCAUCCCUCGGCUCCUCUAGAAAGCUGCAGCUUCGCCAUCUCCCACUUCCCUGGACAAGUAAAUAGGAAACUCAACAUUAGGAUAAUACAGCAAACCAACCAUCUUAAUCUGGCCAAGCAAAUGCUGACAGCAAAC